ensembl:snRNA U6 U6 spliceosomal RNA
GUCCUCACUUUGGCAGCACAUAUACUAAAAUUGGAAUGAUACAGAGAAGAUUAGCAUGGCCCCUGUGCAAGGAUGACAUGCAAAUUUAUGAAGCAUUCCAUAUUUUU